UGAAUUAUAAGGAUAAAAUCGAUUACUAAGUGUAAUAUUAUCUAUUGAUUUCGUAAAGUGAGCAAAUAUUGCGAGAUAUCCCAACUUACUCAGAAGCCAUUUAUCUUGUGAGAUAACCAGAGAAGUUUGUGAGUUAACCCUAUUUUUAUUACCUAAAUAGGGUUCUUGAGAAUCAAAAUUUGGGGAAAAAAAUCAGUGUUCUUACCAUGCCCAAAUCACAAAGGUUUGAACCCGAGUUUCCUUCUAUUUCUUUUUGUUGCGGCGAAAUCUGGUUAAGUCAAGGUCAGUGAAAAAAGCUCAUUAUUAAGCUCGUCGUCCCAGGAGUUGCUUUGAAAAAGGAUUCCAACUGAAAUGCUACUUAUGGAUAUUCUCAGAGCGACACAGGGUUUAGUAGUCGUUUAAUGGUUCCAAACAUGAUUCAAUUCGGGAUGGUACAUCAAACUCAUGACAAUUUUUUGGCUGCUAGAGAUGUUGUGAACGAUAGGAACCCUAUUGAGGUCGACGCACAAGUGGUGACGGACGAGUUGGGCAAAGGCAAGAGGAUCAAAAGACGAAAUGCUAAGUUAGAAUCAGGGGUUGUAACUUGUCAAACAUUAUUUGAGAUUGAUAGAUAUGCACAAAUUCAGUUAUAUCUCUAGGAAGGGUUGUGAAACAAUCCUAGGUAGUCUAAAGUUGCAUUAAAUUAAAUUUCAUUUGACACACUGAUUUUUUGUAAUUACUUCCCCCUAAAUAAAAAGGGUAACUUUCACAUACAGUAAACAUAAAUUUAUAUUUGUAUGAUAUAACAAAGUUUGCAUAA